UGUUUGACCAUUUGCACUAUUUGGUCACUGGAUGUAUCUGGAGCGAGCCGGGAAAUAUACAAUGCGCACUUUUGCACCGUAGACUGAGCGGGGACUAUUUUGAUCGGAAAUGUAGUUGUAUCUUUGUUUGUGCCUGUGAUCAUGGGUGCUCGAUUUUUGCGAUACAUAUCAUCGAUCGGCUUAUUAUGUUGGUUCUGGUUGUUAUUGAUUUGGGUGUUGAUGGGUCUGGCGCCAAAUGUAAACAACGUACGGUUGUCAGUAGCGACUUCCGAGAACAAACGUUUUGACUGAUUUAUGCGACGAAUUUUAGCAGGCGGGUGGCUACUUCGUGGAGUUUUUAGAUCGAGCUGGCUCAUCCGUGCAAACCCAGUUUUAAUUUCAUUAGUCAAUGGCUCCAUAACGGUCUUGAUGCUUUCGGCGACUGUUGUUAUUGCCGCCUGGAAGCCAGAUUGCAUGGCUGCGUCUUUUACGAACUUGGUGCGCGGAUUCAUAAAUACGUUGUUGCAGCCAAUACAGCACCAGUGUAAUUGUUUAUAUUCCGCAAUGCGCAGGAACAGAUCAGCAGGAACCGACGUGCAGCGCUGGUGAAAUGGAGAGUCGCACAGGCAGCAGCUGAUAGAUGCCUCCACAAUUUCCAUAGUGCAGGCGUUGCAAAUACGGGCCAUUCUACGGGAGCGGUGCAGGUUUUCGUUGCAGCAAUAAGAGCGAUGGCGGUUAGGACGCGCGAACUCAAAUGCGAUCCGAAAAACGAAAUUUACGCGAAUUUUAUUGUCAGCAGAGAUAAACGCACUAUUGAACGGUAAUGGAACGGUGUUCUAAAAUACUGUGAUUAUACAGAAACCGGAAAAUAGUGUGAUAAACAGCGCGAUUUUCAAGAAAAUAUACGGAGCGAAACGCGAAUGCGACUUUUACGUUAAACGUCAAACGUCAAACAUCUUCUGUUCAAUAGUUUUACAAACGAGUACCACAGGCGAAGAAAGCUCAACGUUAAACCUUCACCCUCAGUUGCUACAUGAAUUAUCAUGUAAUUCUAUUGAGCAUUUGGAUUGCAUUACUAAUAUCGAACAAAAUACUCCAAUGCCUUCCUGCCAGAAGUCAACAAAACAUUUUCUACCAACAUUUCAAUCAACUGCUACUCAAACCAACUUUUUAAACAGUGGUGAACAAAUCCUAUCGGAUAUUUUAGUUAAACUGGAAAAUAUACAGGAGGAGCAAAAACGACAAGCAGAAAUGAUGAACAACAAAUUUGCUGCUAUGGAUCGACAAAUUAAGUUAAUACGAUCAGAAUUCAACAUCGUGACUGAUAAGCUGAUUCCACGAUCUGGAUUUGUUCAGCAAACAGACUUUGAAUGGGAACCAGUUAAAAAUUAAGAGGAUUUAGAUAAUAUUGAGUGCAGAUUGGCUGAACCCGAAUUUAAGAAAAACUUUUCUAAAUAUUUGGACAAUCAGCUUUCUACAGAAAGUUCAGAUGAACGCUUACAUGACGCAAUGGAUAUUUUUUUCAACAGAGAGUUUGUAACUAAACUAAGUUGGACUGGCAUUGGACGGCCGAAUGCAAAAAUUUGUUUCAAAAAGCACGUCAACGUAAUUAAUCAAUUUAAAGAGUUAGGUACAUUCGGUGGUGUGACUCCAACAAAUCAGAAAUUGAAAGAUUUAUUUCAAAACAAGUUUAAGCAUGGACAUCAGAGACUUGAUCUGGUAGGGUUAGUGAAGACUUCUCAUCACCGCCGUAGGAAAUAGGCAUCGAUAGGCAAUGAUUACGUUUUUAUGAUCGUCGGUUCAUACUCACCCAUACCUUCCAUUGAAUUCAAUUCAAUACCUUGCAUAAGAUUCUUAUCGAAUUACUUUUUUCAUCUAUGUGUUAGGACUUUUUCAUAUAUUUUUUCUGAUUCUUCUAAAACUUAUGCUUCCACUUACUUAAAGAAUAACCUUUGAAAUGUGAUAUUUUGUUAAUGAAAUGAUUUAAUAAAGAAAUGUACUUAAU